GUUGCUAAUGCCUAUCACUAAUAACUUCUCCAUUCCAUUCAGCAUUUCAGAAAAUCUAUAUUUUUGCAGAACUAUUACAAAAGUAUUCUCUAUUUUCAGUUUUCUUCUGUAAUUUUCUAAUUCAUGAGGCCCUUGAAAAGAUUUCAGAAGGGUUAUAUAAGCAUAUUUGUAUCUUUUAAUUAACCUCUCAAAGGAGUUUUGAGAAUUAACAAACCUAAUAUUUCAAAAAAGAAGUUUGUCAAUCAUUGUUUUAACUAUAGAUGGUUUGGCAGAGCUACUUUUUGUACUUUUCGUUGUGGUUUAUUUGGUUGUCUUUCUGCCAUUUCUCAUUACUUUGGUAUGACUGGGUGAUAAAUCACCUUUCACGCUUACACCUUUAAUGUUUUCUUAGAUAUCUUCUUUUUCAUCAUCAUCUUUUGCACGUCUCAUGCAGUCUGACAUAUGACCCUUUUAACCUUGAUCUGACUUCAAUUCUACGUCCACAUCUUCUUUUGCUUCAUCUUUGUCAGUUGGUGACCCCUCUCCUUCUAAAAGAAUCUUAUCUCCAGGAUCUGGUGGUUUUUCAGUCUCUCUCCCUCCACAAGCAUCACUUGUUUCAGCAUCAUCCCCUUCAUGACUAAUUUCUCUUUUGUGAUGAUCCAUUUCUCUGUGUGUCUUUAUGUAUCUGUGGCUAUCUUCACUACUAUGUAUAUGGAUCUCUUUUUCCUUGCUUUGCUUCUCUAUGACCAUAUCUCUUUCCUUAUUGAUCUCCUCUUUUGUGUCAGCAUUUUAUUUUCCUUCUUCUGCAUGUGUGUCCUGGGUAUUAUUGUGUUAUUGUUCCUUUAUGUAAUCAAUCUCUUUAUUGGUUUACCUAAUACUUCCUCCUCCACUUUUUUGCUGAUUUCUUUUUAUUUUGAUCAUCAUCUCUAUUUGCUGUAGUAACAAUGUUGUGUGUUUGAUUCUCCUGUUUCUCUUUCUCAUCCUCAUUAUUAAGCACAUUAAACUUAUUUCUUGUUAGUACAUCCUCACCGUUAGCCUGUUGCUCUCGUCGGAUCCAUCUUUGAAUCAUGUCUCCCCUAUUUCUUGCUCUGCCUCAUAGCCUCAUUUCUAGUUCUUUGUUCCUAAAACUCAUUGUCAGUCGCUUCAUUUUUUGUCUCCAUGCUCCUCCUUUUUCUCUUCCUUAUGAUUAUUCUCCCCAACUUUCUCAUCUUCUUAUUCAUCAUAGAUUUUCUCUGUUGGAUAUAACUUCGGAUGCAACACAAAACACUUCUUCUUAUUGUGUCCUUGUAGUUUACAAUUUUUCCAGUACUUAGGGAGAUAAUCAUACUUAAUGGUGAUCAAUUUUGCCACUAUCUCCCCUGAUUUCUUUUUUAUUCCCAUAUUCACGCUCUUUGGUAGGUCAUUUAAAAGAUCAACCUCAAUUUAACUCGUGCACAGCUCAACCUAAUCUUAUUUUGUAGUAGCUAUAUCUACCUGUAAAGGUUUGCCCACUGCCGCUGCUAAAGAAAACAUAGUCUCUUUUCCAAAAAAGUUUGGUGACGAUGUUGGUAAGGAUAUCCAUGCUAUGGCAAUUGACGUCUCCUUUUCUGGGUGAAAUAGAGGAUCUCACUUCAGUGUUCUCAUAAGUUAAGUGUAAUUUCUAUGUGCAAUAUAGAAAAUCGGCUUUGAUAAGAGGCUUACAUAAUCCUCAAUACGUGAGGCUCUUAUAAGAACA
rnacentral:lncRNA from 1 species